rnacentral:rRNA from 1 species
GACGAACCGUGCGAACGUUGUUCGGAUUCACUGGGCUUAAAGGGCGCGUAGGCGGGCGGCCCAGUCGGGGGUGAAACCUUUCGGCCCAACCGGAAGCGUGCCCCCGAUACUGGCCGCCUCGAGGGGGGUAGGGGCAUGCGGAACUUCCGGUGGAGCGGUGAAAUGCGUAGAUAUCGGAAGGAACGCCGGUGGCGAAAGCGGCGUGCUGGGCCCCCCCUGACGCUGAGGCGCGAAAGCCAGGGGAGCAAACGGG